AUUCCAGCCUUCGUGACCACUCAAAUAUUUACCCAAAGGUUUCCUGGUGAACCUAAUGUUAUUUUAUUUAUCACAACAUAUGAAUAAAUGAAGAAGGGGAUUCUUGUUCCAAGAACUUCAAGUUCAAGCAUUCCAUUUUCACCUUCAACCUACAAAGGAAAUCUCCAAUAGCACUUUUAAACAAGAGGAAUAAUAAAAAUUGUGGUGGGUUAGAAAAUGGUUCAAUGGUGAAGAAAUGAGGUUUGUUAAACAGGAUGGAACUUGAUGAUGGAUCAUAAGAGAAACUUCAAAAGGAAAUGCAACUUUACUAGGAGACAGAAAGCAAAACAGGAAAUGAAAAAGAAACUGAAAGAGCCACUAAUACUGUGUAUGUCAACAGAGGGAAAAUCGAUCUGCAGCAUAAUUCACCAAAUGAGCAAAGCCAGGACCUAGAAAAGCUAAAAUGGAACAACGAAUCUAUCCCUUCUCAUUUUGGGGAAGAUUCUCCUGCAGCUAUG
rnacentral:lncRNA from 1 species